CUGGGAUUGCAGUCAUGUGCCACAAUACUGAAAGAUAACUAUAUUUGUUGAAGGGGGUGUGGCAAGAAAAAGAAUUCAGGGUUCAAUCUCCAGUACUGAAAGAAAAAAAAAGUAAUUCCAAGAUUGCAAUAUAUGCGAUUAAAUGACUUGAUGAUAUUUGCAAAGCAACCUGAAAUCAAGCACUGACUGCAACAACUCACCAUGCAGAGAGAUUUCAGAGUAAAGACUCAGUUGGAGUGCAGACUGACUGAUGGGAGAAGGCUCUGCCAUGGAGAAAUUGAUGGACAUGCUUGGGAGAAGCCUCUGACAGCUUGCUCUGCUGCUGAACAGAAAGGAAGAAUUUGGACACAGGAAGAACACCAUGUGAUCAGAGAUCAGAGUGAUAUAGAAAAGGCCACGAGAUACCAAAGACUGCCCAGCAAGCCAUCAGAACCGAGAAGAGAAGCAUGGAACAAAUUCUCCUUCACAGUUCUCAAAAGGAAGCAGCCCUGCUAACACCUUGAGUUUGAACUUGUAGCCUCCAGAACUGUGGGACAAUAAAUUUUCUGGUACUUUGUUAUGGCAGCCCCAGCAAACUAAUGUCCAACAUAAUCUCUAACAUCUAUUUUCCUUUUAAAAUACUCACUUCCUCUUUUGAGUUUUCUUUUCUGUUCUCCUCCUGCACAUAUUGUACACCUGAGCAUAAAUAUUAGAGUUGACCUGUUUUUCCAACUCAAGACUUUGAAGUUGUUUGUGAAUCUUAUUUUAUUUUGUUUUAUUUUGUGUGUCUAGAUGCCUCUUGCAUUCUAUUAUUUUUCUCUUUUCUGGUCUAAGAUCUGUCUCCUUGUGCAUUGCAGAAUGAUAGAUUUCUACUUCACUUCUUUGUCCCAAGUCAUUCCCUGCUGCUUUUUAUUUUUACAUAUGGUUUUCAGAAUAACCUUCUCCACAUGUUCAUCUCCAUGUAUCACAGCUACUUGGUGCUGACAUGUGCUACU